CAGCCGCCGCGGUAAUACGUAGGGUGCGAGCGUUAAUCGGAAUUACUGGGCGUAAAGCGUGCGCAGGCGGUUUUGUAAGACAGGCGUGAAAUCCCCGGGCUCAACCUGGGAAUGGCGCUUGUGACUGCAAAGCUAGAGUGCGGCAGAGGGGGAUGGAAUUCCGCGUGUAGCAGUGAAAUGCGUAGAUAUGCGGAGGAACACCGAUGGCGAAGGCAGCCCCCUGGGCCAAUACUGACGCUCAUGCACGAAAGCGUGGGGAGCAAACAGGAUUAGAUACCCCCGUAGUCCCUGUCUCUUAUAC
rnacentral:rRNA from 1 species